rnacentral:rRNA from 1 species
CACGUAGGGUGCGAGCGUUGUCCGGAAUUAUUGGGCGUAAAGAGCUCGUAGGCGGUGUGUCACGUCGGCCGUGAAAACCUGCAGCUUAACUGUGGGCGUGCGGUCGAUACGGGCAUCACUGGAGUUCGGCAGGGGAGACUGGAAUUCCUGGUGUAGCGGUGAAAUGCGCAGAUAUCAGGAGGAACACCGGUGGCGAAGGCGGGUCUCUGGGCCGAUACUGACGCUCAUGCACGAAAGCGUGGGGAGCAAACAGG